GAUGAAGAACGUAGCGAAACGCGAUAUGUAAUGUGAAUUGCAGAAUUCAGUGAAUCAUCGAAUCUUUGAACGCACAUGGCGCCUUCCAGUAUCCUGGGAGGCAUGCCUGUCCGAGCGUCGUUUCAACCCUCGAGCCCCCGUGGCCCGGCGUUGGGGAUCUGCCACGGCAGGCCCCUAAAACCAGUGGCGGACCCGAAGGCCCUCUCCUUUGCGCAGUAGCAUCAGCCUCGCAUUGGGAUCCCUCGGCGUCCUGCCUCUAAACCCCCCACAAGUCCGCUCCGGCGGCACCAAGGUUGACCUCGGAUCAGGUAGGAAUACCCGCUGAACUUAAGCAUAUCAUAAGCGGAGGA
rnacentral:misc_RNA from 1 species